rnacentral:lncRNA from 1 species
CAAUCAAAUUUACAAAAAAAUAAUAAGAAUUAAAUAAAUAAACAAGGGUACUUAAGUAAUUUGAUAAAUAACUUCCACAAAUAAUCUCUUAUAAUUAUGGUAAUCAUUGACUUCAGCUGACCUAGGUUUUCUCCCUCUUUAAAGCAGCCACAUAAAAUUGAAAAGAUGUAUUGUUCUUCUUCUUCCCCCUUGCAUCGCCAUUGUUUCCUCCAUCUAAUACCACUAUAGAAAUCGUUUGAUUCCCAUACUGGUGAUCCAUCCAUCAUCGGCUCCACAGCCCCACCUAAUAUUGCACCAGAAAACCCUAUGACGACUUGCUUCCAACCUGCUACCAUCCCUCUCCGACGAUCUACUAUCUUCUGCGAGUACUCCGCCACCAACCACCAGCUCUUCCACCUCGUCUCCAGCAACCUCCUCCCCCCCUCGGUUUUUCUUUACCGUUUUUUAAAUUGAAAAAAAAUUAUUUGAAAUUUCGCCUCGAAUGAGUAGCCCCAUCGAAGACCACAUCAAAAAUCGACCCCAAAACCAUUACGGCCGAAGGUCGAAGGGCGCGUUCGACAACCCCUAACCAUCCGAGCACCACUGUUGGAUCUCCGUGAAACCCCGAUGCAUACUCUAUUAACUCCAUAAACGACUAAAACCUCUAAAGCCUGCAAAAUUCCAUUUAUCGAGACUCUGCUUCGGUAUUGCUCAUGUGAAUCCCUAUGCCUGUAUAACUUUACUUUAAGGUUUGAGCUUUAUCGUUCGAUAUCAGUCUUUAUGAUUUUUAGUGUACCAUUAUAUCAAUAUUUUUCUUUUAUAUCAUUAUUUUCUUUAUACAUAAACAUAGAAUUUGUGAUUAUAUCAUUAUAAUGUGUGCCUGUGAUACCAAAUAUGAAAGGGCUUGUGUUUACUAAUUAUAUAUGCCUUAUACAUAGAGUUAAUAACAUGUGACAUAACUAUAGAAGAAUUAUUUUUUUUCUGGUAUGAAUGUCAUCAUCUUCGGUUGUCAUAGGUGACGUUCCUUAUGCACUCCAACUAUUUGUCUAAAUGCUUAGAAUAAAAAAAAACUAUGAUUUUGGCUUAUUAAGUUAGAAUAAUUCGGAUCUUACCCAUACUCCUUUAGUUAGUAUGUUUAAAUUUGGUUUUCUAUUUUUCAUUUUGUGGGAUUAGGCUUCUAGUGUUCGUUAAUUUUACUAUCAUAUGAACCUAACACAAAACACCUACUGUAAUGAAGUUUUUAUAUAAUUGUAAGUUCAUACCAUUAAUUCCAUGAACCUAACACAAAAUCGAUUGCCAAACAUAAUAUAGUGUUCUUUUGGAGGGGGUGUUAUGUUUUAUCUUUGGUUGUUAUGGUUCAUGGUGGUUGGAGGUUUAUUUGUUGAGCUAUUUAUACUUUUUUUGAUGAUUCUACCCCUAGCUUUGUCUUGCAUCAAUAAAUUGUUUUCUUGUUUAGUUUCUUUUGUGUUUCUAAAGUUGUUGGCUUAAAUUCUGGUUUCUUUGGUAUGGUUUGUGUUCCUGGUAUGAUGUUUACCGAAAUUAACAUCUAAUUUGGAAUCAAAUUAACUGAUUAUAGUUCAUGAAUUGAAGAUUUUUUGUUGCUACAGUCUUAGCUUACAAGAUUGACAUUUAAGCAGGAUUUUUUUUGCUACUACAAUCUAUACAAUUUUCUUGAAUGAAUUUCUUUGUUUUAACCAUUGUUUUUCUUAUUAUUUGUAGUCAUAGUCUUAUAGAUGGUUGAUCAUGUAUUUCAUCUAGUAAGUUUUUAAUGGAGAAUACUAUAAAUGGACAUUUUUUAUGGGGUUUCUUGCAACACCGAUAAAAAUUUAGACCAAUUUAAAACAUUUUCAAAAACAUUUAAAACCAAUAGCUAUUACAAAUUUGUUUCCAAAAUAGUCUAUAUUAGACUUUUCCCCUGAAACGGUAAUAAAACAUGAGGUGUUGUACAAUCACGCCUUCGCCUUGCCGCGAUCCCCUGAUGUACCUGAAACAAUGAACUGAAACUGUAAGCCCGAAGCUUAGUGAGUUCCCCCAAAAUACUUAUACUCACAACAAUACACAUAUAAUCAUAAACAGCAUACUAUGGGUCCAGUCAACCAUCGGGUUAGAAUACCCCAGGCUCACAACCAACAGGUUGGAAUGCCAACAUACUAUGGAUCCAAUCAUCCUCGGGAUGGAAUACCCCAGGCCCACAACCAACAGGUUUGAAUGCCCACAUACUAUGAGUCCAAUCAUCCUCGGGAUGGAGUACUCACAUCCCACAACCAACGGGUUGGAAUGCCCAGGUCUAUUGGCUUUCACACAAAGCAGUAAGCCUCACCCGCCAAACAAAUAUGUGCACAUGUAUAACAGAUAAUCACAUACAGUCUAUAGACAACAACUAAUCUAACCGAUCAUACCACACAACACAUAAUACCAUCCUAUCUACCAGGAUACCGAUCUAAUAGAUCAUACCACAUACCACAUAAUAUUAUCCUACUCUCUAGGAUACCGAUCUAACAUAUCAUACUAGCAUAACAUAACCAGAUAACAAUCCAAAGGACCGGAUUUGGUGCCUUAGACCCUUGAUUAUAGUGAGGAUAACUCACCUUGCAACUGUCGACUCGUAAGAUAAGCUCAAACUCUCAGAUUACCGUCCCAAACUCCCCCACCUAUAUUCAUUGCAAAACUAUACUUGUAAAUUUCCAAUCUCCCAAAAUGUCCCCAAAAGUCAACUAGUCAACCCUUGGUCAAAGUCAAAGUCAAAGUCAACUGUCAAGGUCAACAGUCCAUGUUGACCUCAACUCGUUGAUUACCCUUAGCUACUCGCCGAGUCACUUGAGUGACUCAUCGAGUUCCUAAGGUUUGCGGUCGUAAACUUCCUUGGCCGACUCGUCGAGUUUCCCUUGCAACUCGCCAAGUUCAUAUAUGUCCAACAGUUGGGAAAACCCCAUCCGACUCGCCGAGCCCACGACAAUCUUUAUCGGACUCGCCGAGUCGACCAUGCCACUCACCGAGUCCCUUCACUCCUUCAUCCAUACAGAUGCUUUUUAAGCCAUGUAAAGGCUCCAUAUUACAGAUCCAACUUCCUAAGGCAUGCUUAUCAUGUAAAGUUGCAAACAUUACGUGCAUGCAAAGCUCUAAAGCCUUAAAAUGAAAAAAAAAAAAAAAAACAAAAAAAAAAAAAACUAAGCUUGCAAAGAAGUCUUGCACUUGAGGGAAGGCUCAUACUUGCGAAAGCUGAUAACUUUAUGGAUCUAGAGGCCAAGGGGAGUCUAGAUCUGAAGUUGCAACUUCAGAUCUUGACUCAAACACAAGAAACGUUUCCUAAAACCCACCCAAAAGAGAUUAAAGAUGAAAUGAGCCAAGGAUACAGCCUAAUACCUUCAAGUAAGUGUCAACUGAAGUAGAUCUUUCCAUCCCAUAAGUUCCUAGCUUCAAUUUACUUGUUUUCCCCAAGUGUUUCCUCACCAAGAUCCCUCUUCCAAGAUUUAACACACCAAAGAAACACACACACGAUUUAGGGUUUAAGGGUGCCAAGGAGCUGUAAAGGGGAGGCUGGGGGAGGCCAAUUAUCCUUUAAAUAGGGUGCAAUAACCCGAAAUUUAGGGUUUCAUCUGCCAGCUCCUACUCAUUGAGUCCCUUCUUGGACUCGGCGAGUAGGUCACUAAAACAUGUGGACCAACCCGCUGCUACUCGACGAGUAGGGCAACCAACUCGUGGAGUAGAACAUGAAUCAAGAAAAUUCUUAUAUAAAAUGAAUACCUAAGAAUCAGGGUGCUACAUUUCCUGUUGGUAUGGAUAUUGAUAAUUCUUUUUUAUGGUGAAAAUUUUAUGAUUUUAAAGCUACUUUAGUAUUUUGACCAUUUUGUCCUUUCAUAGUUAAUUUCUUUCUUUGGUUUGUUUCAUUCUAGAGUGAUGAAAUUUAUUUGAUGUGCCUAAUGAAUGGAAUUUAAAACCUGCAAAUAUUCUUUUAGAAUGGCGAAGACUUUAGAAUGUGGAAGGCUAAUAUUCUUUCUGAAUAAAGAAUGGCAAUAUUCUUUCGGUUCUCAUAUAAAAUUCUUUGGUUAUGACCAUAUGGUAUGCAUUAUGUAAGAACCACUAGAGUUUGUAAGGUCAUUUUAUCAUAGGAUUUGAUGUCUCUCUCUCUCUCUCUCUCUCUCUAUAUAUAUAUAUAUAUAUAUANNNNNNNNNNNNNNNNNNNNNNNNNNNNNNNNNNNNNNNNNNNNNNNNNNNNNNNNNNNNNNNNNNNNNNNNNNNNNNNNNNNNNNNNNNNNNNNNNNNNNNNNNNNNNNNNNNNNNNNNNNNNNNNNNNNNNNNNNNUUCAACAUAUAUAUAUAUAUAUAUACAUAUAUAUAUAUAUAUAUAUAUAUAUAUAUAUAUAUAUAUAUAUAUAUAUUAGAUGAAGAAGAUAAAUGUGUUCUCAUAGAAUGGUAUUCUUACAGAAUGCAAUUCUCGUUUGAUGUUAGUCUCAUAAAAUGUCUCGUAAGAAUGGUUAGAAUCAAGAGGACUAUGGACCAUUAAAGAAGAUCAAGUGCAUUUGUUCAAGAAUUUUAUAUUUAAGAAUGCUAUGUUUUUUUAGAAUUUACUUCAUUUUUAUGACAGUUUGUUAGAAUAUAUAUAAUUGUACUAAAGUAUAUCAGACUAAUAUUCUGUAAGCAUAUGUAUGAAUCUACAUUCAGAUGUCUAUGAAUAUACAAUCUUGUUAUUUUUCAACUAAUGGUUCAAGAAUGUUGUUUUUCUUCAAGAAAUUGAUUUAAUCAAAAUAUGUAUUAUGUUAGAAAAAUGUAUCUUGACAUUCUUAUAGAAUAUCAUUCUAACAUAAUGUCAUCCUCACAGAAUAAAUCGAGUAUAAUUAAAAAUUACAUUAGAAUUAAAAUUGAAAUAAUUAAAAAACCAGAAUUUUUAAAUCAAUAGAAUUACUUAUCCCAAAAAAAUCUAGAAUUUUAUGUUUUUAAAUUUAUCUCAAUUGACUAAAAUACCCUUAUAGUGAAAUUAGAUGGUAUUUUUCAAAUUUUUAAUUAAAUAAUAUUUAUUAAUACCUUUUUUAAAAUAACUAAAACGAUUGGUCCACAAUCAACCUUACAUCCACACAAUAGAUAGUUAAAAUACAAUAACCUAUNNNNNNNNNNNNNNNNNNNNNNNNNNNNNNNNNNNNNNNNNNNNNNNNNNNNNNNNNNNNNNNNNNNNNNNNNNNNNNNNNNNNNNNNNNNNNACCUGGUUCCUGGUAUGUAAUAUAAUCUAAGUAUUUUGCAUUUUUUAGCUGGAACUCGGCGAGUUGUAGGCCCGACUCGCCGAGUAGAGACGAGAUAUUGAACACGUUUAAGUUAGCGACUCGGCGAGUCCAUAUCAUGGACUCGGUGAGUCCGCCAGUCUGGAAGAAACCCUAGAUCCACGAGUUUUGCACCCUAUUUAAACCAUGUUAUGAGCCCCAAACUCGCCUGCAUCACCCUCAGAGCAUCAUUUAGCAAACCCUAACCAUUCCUUGAGCAUUUCUUGUGUGAAUCUUGAAGUUUACACGUUUAAGUUAGCGACUCGGCGAGUCCAUAUCAUGGACUCGGUGAGUCCGCCAGUCUGGAAGAAACCCUAGAUCCACGAGUUUUGCACCCUAUUUAAACCAUGUUAUGAGCCCCAAACUCGCCUGCAUCACCCUCAGAGCAUCAUUUAGCAAACCCUAACCAUUCCUUGAGCAUUUCUUGUGUGAAUCUUGAAGUUUGGAAGAGAAGAAGGAAGCUAGAUCCAAAGGAGUAGAAGGAGAUCCAAGAUCUUGCACCCACUAUAGAGUUUAUUGAGGUACUAAUCAGAUUCCUUCUGUUUCUAUGAUUUAUUCUCCAUUAUAAAUCACAUUUAGGCCAUUUUAUCCAUUUAUUAGCUUGAUUAUAGUAGAGACAUCGCAUUGGGUUGAAUAGCCUUCGGAUCUAGCCAUGUUUCAGUUCCAAAAACUUAGAUCUAACACCUAUAUGGAGCCAUUUUGCAUGAAAGCCCUAGAUCUAUUCUUUUAAGUGUCUUUUGAGCCUUUAAAUCCCUUUUCAUGCAUAUGUACACGUAAAGUUGGAAACUUUACGUGGUAACCAACCCUUAAGAACCCAGAUCUAUAAGUUGUAUGCAUUGGUUUUGAGCAGAAUAACCUAUAUAGAAGUUGCAUGCCACCGACUCGGCGAGUCGUUCUUCAGACUCGGCGAGUCAAGUCGCGAGUUCCUGAGUUUUCCCCUUUCAUGUAUUAUGCCGAGUGGAACCAGUGAGUUAUAGGUGGACUCAGUGAGUCGGGGAUCGGACUCAUUCAUGGAGGGACUCGGUGAGUCACUGCCCUGACUCGGCGAGUCCAAGGCAAUCUUCAUAUAUCAAGAACAGACUUGGCGAGUUGUUCAUACAAAUCGGCGAGUCAUAGUCGGAGUGUUCAUAUGUUGAAGGAGAACUCGAUGAGUUGUUCAUACAACUCGGCGAGUCGGAUGCAGAUGGACUAAGUGUAACACCCCCAAAAAUACGAGCCAAAAAUUUCAUUUUUAAAUACACAUACUUAGCAAAACAUUAAAUAAAACAUUCACCAAUCACAACAUUUCAUAAAAGAUGUAUGUGUCUGGAAACCAGUUAUCAAAACAUAAUAAAGUCAGAGUACAAAUCCCCAGGACGAUCUCAUAGUGCGGAAUACAAGGCGUGUGUGUGAUGUGCUGCUACCGCGCGAGCUCCUUCCCCUUCGAAGAAGAGGUACCUGAAACCAAAACUGAAAACUGUAAGCACGAAGCUUAGUGAGUUCCCCCAUCAUACCACAUACCAUACAAUCACAUAUCAUACAUAUUGCCAGGCAUUUCUGGGGUGCCCGACCUACCCGGUACGGCCAUUCUGGGGCGCCGACCUACCCGUGUCAAGCCAUUCUGGGGUGCUGACUACCCAUGUCAAGCCAUUCUGGGGUGCUGACUACCCUUCGGUCCUGACGACCGAACCUCGGGGGCUAUUUCCCCCCUACUGCUACUAUCACAUAUAUCAUAACAUACCAUAUUAUCAGACAUAUCUGGGGUGCCUGAACUACCCUUCGGUCCUAGCAACCGAACUCGGGGAUUGGUCCCCUCCUACUACCUAUAUCGCAUAUAACAUAUCAAGCCAGCAUGCAAACAUAUAAUCACAUACUGUUAGACGUAUCUGCGGUGUCUGACUACCCUUCGGUCCUAACAACCGAACUCUACUACUAUCACAUAUAACAUAUCAUGCUAGCCUAUAACAUAUCAGGUAGUAGCAAACCUAGAUGAUAUCACAAAGACAAUCAUCUAUCAUACAUCUCCUACUGGUGGGCCGACAUUGUGGCCUUAGACCCACCGCUACUGGAAGGUAACUCACCUNAGCUGCUGAACUGAUCGGAAACUGACUGUCUACUGCUGCUGCUGCUCCGGACGUCCUCCGGCUAUAAAUCCCACAAAACGAUCAGUCAAACACUGCUAGAUGUUCUUAGGGUAAAAUGACCCUUUUACCCUCGACCAGGUCGAAAUCCAAGUCAAAGUCAACUUCCAGUUAACUGGACUCGCCGAGUCCACAAGCAACUCGCCGAGUCCACGAGCAACUCGCUGAGUCCUUCCCUUACUAAUCCGGUCCCACUCACCCGGUCCCUCUCCCCACUCACUGAGUCACCCUUGACUCACCACUCGGGACUAUGGGGCCGACUUGAGUACUGACUCGCCGAGUUUGAAGAACAACUCGGCGAGCUCCAGGCAAUCUUUAUAGGACUCAUCGAGUUGUUCAUCCAAUUCGCCGAGUCUAAGACCAUCUUUAUAGAACUUGCCGAGUACCACUUUGGGACUCGCCGAGUUCCUCGACCCAUUCCCCAAAUAGGCCAGAUCUGAGACAUGCAAUGCUUCAAAACCACAAAUCUAUGAUCCUAGGGUAUGUUUACCACGUAAAGUUGCAAACUUUACGUGCAUGCAUGGCCCAAUGAGCUCAAACAUUCAAUUCCAAGCUCUUUAAGAGGUCCUACACUCAAUAGGGACCUCAAUCACCUCAACCACAAAGACUUUAUGCUACUAGGAUGUCUUAAAGGUCCAAAUCCGAAGUCCUGCUCCGGACCUGCUGAAUCUUCUCCGUCGUUUGGAGAACCACUUCAGUGCUUCCCAUGACCCUUUGGCCAACCGCUCCCCAACAUAUCGGGGUCCUGCACCUCCGUCCGUACAACAUCUCGAAUGGAGGGCGAUCGAUACUCGCGUGGUAGCUGUGGUCGUACAAGAACUCAGCCAAGGGAAGAUAGGUAUCCCAACUACCACCGAAAUCCAGCACGCAUGCCCGCAACAUAUCCUCAAGUGUCUAGAUGGUCCGCUCACUCUGGUCAUCCGUCUGCGGGUGAAAGGCAGUGCUAAAAUGCAGACGAGUGCCCAACUCAUCAUGAAACUUCUUCCAAAACCUGGAAGUAAAAUGCACAUCUCUAUCUGAAAUCACUGAUACUGGCACCCCGUGCCGCGCCACUAUCUCNGGCCCCCCGUCGCGCCACUAUCUCCCUGAUAUAGAUAUCGGCCAACUUCUCGGCCGAGAUGCUCUCCUGAAUCAGAAUGAAAUGGGUGCUCUUGGCCAAUCGAUCCACGAUGACCCAAAUCAAAUCUACUCCACGCACGGUCCUGGGAAGCUUCGUGAUAAAAUCCAUCGUGAUAUCUUCCCAUUUCCACAACGGAAUAUCCAACGGCUGCAUCUUGUCAUGCGGUCUCUAAUGCUCGGCCUUGACCUUCCUGCAGGUCAAACAUCGCUCGACGUACCACGCCACAUCCCACUUCAUGCAGGGCCACCAAUAGUCCAGGCGAAGAUCCCGAUACAUCUUCGUCACCCCUGGAUGAAUAGAGAAUCGGGAUUUGUGCGCCUCCUCCAUCAAGAUCUGGCACACGCCUCCAUGAUACGGCACCCACACCCUACGGUGUAGUGUCAAGAACCCCCGGCUAUCAUAAUCGAAAGAGNNNNNNNNNNNNNNNNCGAUGCUCCUCCGUCAUAGCCUCCUGUUGGGCCUCUCGAAUCUGCUCCAACAAAGGAGUCACCACGGUCAUCCUCAUGCAAACAUCCCUGAUCGACGCCGCCUUGUGGCUAAGCGCAUCGGCCACCACAUGGGCCUUCCCUGGGUGGUAAAGGAUCUCGCAAUCAUAAUCCUUCACCACGCCCACCCACCGAUGCUGCCUCAUGUUCAAAUUUGGCUGAUCCAUGAGGUACCUCAAGCUCUUGUGGUCCGUGUAAAUGGUACAACGAACCCCGUAAAGGUAAUGCCACAAUAUCUUGAGGGCGAAGACCACCGCCUGCAACUCCAAAUCAUGUGUCGGGUAGUUCGCCUCGUGAGGCUUCAGCUACCUCGAGGCAUAAGCAAUGACACGCCCCUUCUAUAUCAACACCGCGCCUAAGCCUGAGAUCGACGCAUCACAAUAUACCAUAAAAUCCUCCACACCCUCGGGCAAGGCUAAGAUCGGCGCCUCGCACAAUCUCUGCCUCAGAGUCUCGAACGCUGCCUGCUGCUCAGGCCCCCAUCGAAAGACCACGGCUUUCCUAGUCAACCGUAUCAGGGGUACGACUAUCUUGGAGAAAUCCUGAAUGAACCUCCGAUAGUAGCCUGCUAAUCCUAGGAAACUCAGAAUUUCGGAUGGAGACUUCGGAACCUCCCAUCUCAUCACGGCCUCCACCUUGGCCGGGUCUACUGAAAUCCCGUUCUGGUGAUAAGGUGUCCGAGAAAUUGCACCUCACGCAACCAAAACUCGCACUUGGAGAACUUGGCAUACAAGCUCUCCCUCCUCAGGGUCUCCAAAACCUCUCUUAGAUGCUCCUCAUGCUCCUCCUGUGUCUUGGAAUAAACCAAUAUGUCGUCAAUGAAGACUAUCACAGACCGAUCCAGCAUCGGUCUGCAUACGCGGUUCAUGAGGUCCAUGAACGCGACAGGAGCAUUGGUAAGCCCAAACGGCAUCACCACGAACUCAUAAUGGCCAUAGCGCGUCUAAAACGCGAUCUUCUGCGCAUGCUCCUCUCUGACCCUCAUCUGAUGAUAACCCGAACGCAAAUCGAUCUUGAAAAACCAAGACGCUCCCUGAAGCUUGUCAAAGAGAUCAUCAAUCCUUGGGAGUGGGUAACGGUUCUUCACCGUCACCUUAUUCAGCUCCCGGUAAUCUAUACACAUCCGGUGCGACCCAUCCUUCUUCUUCACAAACAGGAUCGGGGCUCCCCAGAGUGAACUUCUCGAACGAAUAAAUCCCUUGUCUAGCAGCUCCUGCAGCUGCGUAGACAACUCCUGCAUCUCGGGAGGAGCCAACCGAUAGGGUGCCUUGGCUAUUAGAGCCGCCCCAGGAACGAGGUCGAUCCUGAACUCUACCUGACGCUUUAGAGGUAUUCCAGGAAGCUCCUCCGGGAACACAUCAGCGUAGUCUCGCACCACUGGAACCUCGCUCACUGUCGCCUUACCCGACUCCCGGGUAUCCAUAACGUACGUGACAUACCCCGCGCAUCCCUGCUGAAGGUAGCGCCUAGCUCUCGCUACUGAACAUGCUAAAGUUCCAUGUUGUGGCCUCUCGCUGUGGAUCACCAACUCUCCCCCACUUGGGGUCCUGACCCGCACUAGCUGUUGUGCGCAAUCUAUCCCCGCCCCAUUAGGGCUCAACCAAUUCAUGCCUAUAAUCACCUUGUUCCCCCGCAACGGUAUGGGAACCAAAUCCACCAGAUAACGCUCCUCAAAUAACCUCAAAACUCAAUCCAUGAACACUGCUGAUGCUCGCACCGAUCGAUCAUCGGCAAUCUCUACCUCUAAAGGGCAAUCCAACAUGCCUGAGGACUUAGUAAACCUCUUGCUAAGUGCAAGGGAAACAAAUGAUCGGGUGGCACCCGAGUCGAACAACACCUGAACCGGAAUACCGUUCACAUGGAACGAUCCUAACAAAUAAAGAUACAUAAACCAAGCACAUAUCAAUAUCAUAACAUCAUAAAAAUAAUGAGAAGGAAAGAAUCAUACCCGUCACCACAUCGGGUGCAGCGCGUGCUUCCUCGGCGGUCAGCUGAAAUGCCCGGCUCCUCACCACUGGAGCCUCUGCCUUGCCCUGUCGGCCAUCCGUGAUCCGCAGGGUCGCUGGAGCUAGCGCCCUUACCGGCGCUGGAACUGUCAACUGGGGGCAAUUGGCCUUCUUGUGGCCCCUCUGGUUGCAGUGGAAACACAACAACUCACACGUCUGAAUAACUGCUGCCAGAGCAGUGCAAUCUCUGCUAGAGUGCCCAGGCUUACCACACUUAUAGCAGCCUGACGAUCCUAAUCUACAUGCCCCCUCAUGAGGCUUGCCGCAUUUCCUACAGCGGCUCGGUCUUAACUGGCCUUUCGGCCUACCAUCUGAUCCCUUGGGCUUCUUCCCCGAAGCCCCCCCUGUCUGUCCCUCCUCAGUCUUCCUCUUCCGGACGUGCUCCAGAUCUAUCUCUCUCUCCCUCGCCCUGGCAAUCAUAGAGUCCAAGGUAGGGCAAGCUGAAAAACUGACAUGCUCUCGAAUAUCAGCUCGGAGCAUGUCAUGGUAGCGGGUCCUCCUCAUGUCCUCAUCACCCGCAUACUGGGGCACUAACAAUGCCCUCUCCAGGAACUUGGCGGUGAUCUCCGCCAUAGUCUCCGUCGUCUGUCUCAUGUCCAAAAACUCUCUAGCAAGCUGCUGAAGCUCGACAGCCGGCGCGAACUCCGCCCCGAACCUGGUCGCAAAGUCCGACCAUGACAUAACCUCGAUAGCUGAGGCUCCCAACGAGUCGCUCAAGGACUCCCACCAAUCCCUAGCUCGAUCACGCAAACACCCUACCGCAAACCUCACCUUCGACCCCUUAGGGCAGAAGCUAAUCAUCUGUGCAUACUCAAUGUCGGCAAUCCAUCGCCUGGCAGCCAUGGGGUCCUUCGCCCCAUGAAAAUCCGGCGCACCACUGCCCCGAAAGUCCUUGAAGGACAGUGUGCGGGAUCCUGACUGGCCAGAUGCCAUGUCACUCCUAAAUGCCCAGAGGCGAUCCUUCAUCAUCUCCAANGAUCCUCCAUCAUCUCCAAUAUCCCCUCCUUGAUCGACCCAAAGAUAAUGGGGGUCGACUCAAGGAUACCUCUGGUGAUCUCAGACGCGAUGAACUCACGCAGCCUUUCAUCUACUGGCUCAGAACCUGAUCCCGAACCCGAUCCCUCUCCUGAACUGCCAACUGCUGGCCUCAGGAGUAGUACCACCAUUCUGAAAUGCAAAAGAAAUAACAACGGUUAGUGAUACUGAUACCCCUGUAGGAAUCACACCCACUACAGGUUCCCUGGUCUUAUCUUAGCCUUCCUCGGUUCGGGUACGGAUCCUCUGCUUUCAGUAGUACGGGCCCAUACUACCUUCCACAUCUAUCUGUACCUUCCCCAAAGACCGCCUUGACUCAACCAGGUCCCUUCCACUACCGCUGAUCACUACUACUCUUUAUCCUAGGCUUACCCUAGGAAACCUCCGACUCCACCCAACCCAGUCCUCAGCUGCUGAAGGCCUCUUGGUGAUGCCAAUUAACCAUCACCUGAAUACAAUCACAUGUGACGAGGCUCGGAUAAUCCUUCGAGUAAGGGACUCAUCUCUACAACGGUUAGGACUCAAACAAGAGCUACGCAAUAGAGUCAAAUCCAACACUCUGAGAUUAUUUAACCCUGAUCACAUGUAACUUUAACGUAUUUACCUAACAGUUAGCUCCCAUCACUGCAAAGCCCACAUAGCACAAAGAAAACAACAUUUGGACAUAAGGAAAACAAUCUCAAGCAACUCUAUCCUUGUAGAGAGGACUGAACUAGUAUACAAUGCUGAACUCGUACUAUCAAGAAUAACCUAAACAGGCUACCCUACUGCUGUCUACUCAACUCUAGCAUGAAACUCUUUCAUAUACCGAAGCACAUAAAGCAUGCAUAUAAGGCAUCACUCCUAGAUCCUUAGUCCUAUUCUAGCAUGCUGUUCUACAGAAACUGAUAAACAUAAAUAAACUUGUAUUGGUACAUUGGGGAAUACUUACUUGAGCUCGGCUGGUGGCGCACAUCACACACUUUGUUCUUUCUUAAAACCCAUUUACUUAGCUUUUUAGAAAACAUUUUCUCUUUCCAAAAUCUUUUAAUCCCUCGAUUUGAGUUCAAACACCCCCGAAGGUGUGUCCGAAUCCCUCAAACCAAGGCUUUGAUACCAACUUGUAACACCCAAAAAACACGAGCCAAAUAUUUCAUUUUUAAAUACACAUACUUAGCAAAACAUUAAAUAAAACAUUCACCAAUCACAACAUUUCAUAAAAGAUGUACGUGUCUGGAAACCAGUUAUAAAAACAUAAUAAAGUCAGAGUACAAAUCCCCAGGACGAUCUCAUAGUGCGGAAUACAAGGCGUGUGUGUGAUGUGCUGCUACCGCACGAGCUCCUUCCCCUUCGAAGAAGAGGUACUUGAAACCAAAAUUGAAAACUGUAAGCACGAAGCUUAGUGAGUUCCCCCAUCAUACUGCAUACCAUACAAUCACAUAUCAUACAUAUUGCCAGGCAUUUUUGGGGAGCCUGACCUACCCAGUACGGCCAUUCUGGGGUGCCGACCUACCCAGUACGGCCAUUCUGGGGUGCCGACCUACCCAUGUCAAGCCAUUCUGGGUUGCUGACUACCCAUGUUAAGCCAUUCUGGGGUGCUGACUACCCUUCGGUCCUGACGACCGAACCUCGGGGACUAUUUCACCCCCUACUACUACUAUCACAUAUAUCAUAACAUAACAUAUUAUCAGACAUAUCUGGGGUGCCUAAACUACCCUUCGGUCCUAGCAACCGAACUCGGGGAUUGGUCCCUUCCUACUACCUCUAUCGCAUAUAACAUAUCAAGCCAGCAUGCAAACAUAUAAUCACAUACUGUAAGACGUAUCUGGGGUGUCUAACUACCCUUCGGUCCUAACAACCGAACUCUACUACUAUCACAUAUAACAUAUCAUGCUAGCCUAUAACAUAUCAGGUAGUAGCACACCUAGAUGAUAUCACAAAGACAAUCAUCUAUCAUACAUCUCCUACUGGUGGACCGACAUUGUGGCCUUAGACCCACCGCUACUGGAAGGUAACUCACCUCGAAAGUAGCUGCUGAACUGAUCGGAAACUGACUGUCUACUGCUGCUGCUGCUCCGGACGUCCUGCGGCUAUAAAUCCCACAAAACAAUCAGUCAAACACUGCUAGAUGUUCUUAGGGUAAAAUGACCCUUUUACCCUCGACCAGGUCGAAAUCCAUGUCAAAGUCAACUUCCAGUUGACUGGACUUGUCGAGUCCACGAGCAACUCGCCGAGUCCUUCCCUUACUAAUCAGGUCCCACUCGCCAAGUCCCUCUCCCCACUCACUGAGUCACCCUUGACUCACCAUUCGGGACUAUGGGGCCGACUUGAGUACCGACUCGCCGAGUUUGAAGAACAACUCGACGAGCUCCAGGCAAUCUUCAUAGGACUUGCCGAGUUGUUCAUCCAACUCGCCGAGUCUAAGACCAUCUUCAUAGAACUCGCCGAGUACCACUUUGGGACUCGCCGAGUUCCUCGACCCAUUUCCCAAAUAGGCCGGAUCUGAGACAUGCAAUGCUUCAAAACCACAAAUCUAUGAUCCUAGGUCAUGUUUACCACGUAAAGUUGCAAACUUUACAUGCAUGCAUGGCCCAAUGAGCUCAAACAUGCAAUUCCAAGCUCUUUAAGAGGUCCUACACUCAAUAGGGACCUCAAUCACCUCAACCACAGAGACUUUAUGCUACUAGGAUGUCUUAAAGGUCCAAAUCCGAAGUCCUUGCAGAACAUUAACCAUAAACACAUAGAGAUUUAGGUUCUUAGGGCUUAAAACCUCUUUUUAGGGACAAGAAAGGGGGUUCCACGAACUAAAGGUCAAGGUAGGAACUUUUCUACCUGAAUAGAAGCCCUUCACAAAGUAUAUUCUGGAUCUUCUUCCCUUCUUGCACUCUUCAAUCUUCUCUUUCUUCUCCCAAGCUCCAAACCACCUUCAAAAUGCUAAAAAUCACCCACAAGGACACAAAGGGGGCUAGGUUUCGUUCUACAGAUCUCUGGGAGUGCUUGGGGUUGUGGAGGCUGGGUUAGAUCAUUUAAAUAGGGUGCAAACACCCGGGUUAGGGUUUUAGUCCAUACAGGGUCUACUCGCCGAGUCCCACGACCCUACUCGCCGAGUAGCCAGAGUUGAACCCGAGUCUAGACCUGCUUCUACUCGGCGAGUUAGUCCUUCAACUCGCCGAGUCCAAGGUUAAAAUGCAGUACAUAAGGAGAGUUAAUAAUCAAGAAUACAUACCAGGUGCUACAAAUCUCCCUCACUUAUUUUAGACUUCGUCCUCGAUGUCUGCUGCUCGAUCCUAAAACAGCUCGGGGUAAUGCUCCAUCACUUCUUCCAGGGGUAAAAUAGUUAUUUUACCCUCAGUAUAGUUAUCAGUACUUGAUUGAGCGUACUUAUGGAAAUUGUAGCCAGGGUGAAACUGGAGCAGCAGCAGACAGAUUCCAGAGCAGUUUAUUCAACAGCUAGACUACGAGGUGAGUUUCCUUCUAGUAGGAACGGGUCUACGGCCACAAUGCCGACCCGUUUAGUUAGUAGCAGUUCCGGACCUCGGUCCGAUGCAGUAGUUAGAUUGCUUGAUGUCUUUGUGAUUCAAGCAUGUUUUGUGUUAUGUGUUCCGGACUUCGGUCUGAUGCAGUAUGCAGUAUAUGUGUUUAUGCUAGUUGAUAUGUUAUGCUAUGAUAUGUUAUGCUUAGUCAGUUUCCGGACUUCGGUACGAUGCAGGGGACAAGGUCCCAGUCAGUUCCGGAUUUCGAUCCGAUGCAGUUAGUUCCGGGCUUUGGUCCGAUGCAGGGGACAGGGUCCCAGUCGGUCCCGGACUUCGGUCCGAUGUAGCUUCCGGACUUCGGUCCGAUGCAGACGGCAAGGCCCUGGUUAGUUCCGGACUUCGGUCCGAUGCAGUUUCCAGACUUCGGUCCGAUGCAGUGGGCAAGGCCCAGUAUGUGUUUAUGUGUUAUUGUAUGGUAUGUGGUAGUUUGGGGGAGCUCACUAAGCUUCGUGCUUACAGUUUCAGUUUUGGUUUCAGGUACUUCCACAAGUAAAAUGAAGAGCUCGGGAUGAU